AACGAACGCUGGCGGCAUGCCUAACACAUGCAAGUCGAACGAGACCUUCGGGGCUAGUGGCGCACGGGUACGUAACGCGUGGGAACCUGCCCUUAGGUUCGGAAUAACUCCCCGAAAGGGGUGCUAAUACCGGAUAAUGUCUUCGGACCAAAGAUUUAUCGCCUUUGGAUGGGCCCGCGUUGGAUUAGCUAGUUGGUAGGGUAAAAGCCUACCAAGGCGACGAUCCAUAGCUGGUCUGAGAGGAUGAUCAGCCACACUGGGACUGAGACACGGCCCAGACUCCUACGGGAGGCAGCAGUGGGGAAUAUUGGACAAUGGGCGAAAGCCUGAUCCAGCAAUGCCGCGUGAGUGAUGAAGGCCUUAGGGUUGUAAAGCUCUUUUACCCGGGAUGAUAAUGACAGUACCGGGAGAAUAAGCUCCGGCUAACUCCGUG
rnacentral:rRNA from 1 species